rnacentral:rRNA from 1 species
ACUGCGGAGUUUAUAGAUGUCCGUACCGGAAACCGACACAGGUGGGUGAGGCGAGCAGCCUCAGGUGAACGAGUGAAACGUGGUCAAGGAACUCGGCAUAAUGAUCCCGUAACUUCGGAAGAAGGGAUGCCAGAGAGGGUGUAGGGUACACCGAAGCUCUCCCUGGUCGCAGCGAAUCGGCCCAAGCGACUGUUUAGCAAAAACACAGGUGUGUGCCAAGCCGCACAAGGCGCCGUAUACACACUGACGCCUGCCCGGUGCCGGAAGGUUAAGGGGAGAGGUUAGCCGCAAGGCGAAGCUUUGAGCCGAAGCCCCGGUAAACGGCGGCCGUAACAAUAACGGUCCUAAGGUAGCGAAAUUCCUUGUCGGGUAAGUUCCGACCUGCACGAAUGGCGUAACGACUUGGGCACUGUCUCGACCACGUGCUCGGCGAAAUGGCAGUCUCGGUGAGGAUUCCGAGUCCCCGCGACAGGACAAAAAGACCCCAUGCACCUUUACUGUAGCUUGUCAUUGGUCGUUGCACAUCGCUGUGUAGCAUAGGUGGGAGGCGUUGAUCCGUGGGCGCUAGCUUACGGGGAGCCAUCAGUGAAAUACCACCCUGCGUCGUGCGACGCCCUCACCACGGCGGGAACACCCCGUCUGGGACCGUGGCAGGUGGGCAGUUUGACUGGGGCGGUCGCCUCCGAAACAGUAACGGAGGCGCGCGCAAGGUUGGCUCAGCGCGGACGGUACUCGCGCUUCUAGAGUGUAACGGCAGAAGCCAGCCUGACGGUGAGAUCGACGGAUCGAGCCGCCACGAAAGUGGGCCGUAGUGAUCCGGUAGCCCGGGGUGGAGCGGCUAUCGCGCAACGGAUAAAAGGUACGCUGGGGAUAACAGGCUUAUCGCGCCCGAGAGUUCACAUCGACGGCGCGGUUUGGCACCUCGAUGUCGGCUUAUCACAUCCUGGGGCUGGAGAAGGUCCCAAGGGUCCGGCUGUUCGCCGGUUAAAGUGGUACAUGAGCUGGGUUCAGAACGUCGUGAGACAGUUCGGUCUGUAUCCGUCGUGGGCGUUGGAGAGUUGAGGGGAGCGUACUCUAGUACGAGAGGACCGAGUCGGACGACCCGCUCGUGUCCCGGUUGUCCUGCCAAGGGCACCGCCGGGUAGCGAUGGUCGGCUGUGAUAACCGCUGAAAGCAUCUAAGUGGGAAGCACGCCCCAAGAUGAACUCUCCCGAGGCCUUGAGCCUCUUGAAGGGCCGGGGAAGACCACCCCGUCGAUAGGCCGCCCGUGGACGUCCCGCAAGGGAUUCCAAGCGCAGCGGUCCUAAUCGCCCGUAUGGCUUGACUAC